CUUAGCACUUGGUGCUAUAGUCUAGUUGUGGUGUUAGGGUAUAGGUUGGACUUGAUGAUCUUAGAGGUCUCUUCCAGCCUCAUUAUUCUGUGAUUCUGUGAAUAUAGAAACUUCAGAAAAUAAAGGUGUUUUCAGUUAGCAUGUGUAAUGUUAAUACUCAGUGUUAAUGUUAAUACUCAGUGCCACAGUGAAACUGAGAAUUCUCAGCACAUAUUUAUGUGUCGUUGUUCAAAUGGCAGAGCCUUGGGUUGAGGUUUUAUGAUAUGUUGACUAUUUCAAUAGCACAAAUGCUUUACAAAGUCCUGGCUGCUUGUUUCUCCAGUCCUUCUUUGGGUUGACUCAACCAGUUCAGAGUUUCUAGCUUAGUGUUAACAACCCAGCUUCAACAGAAUUGUAAGAUCAUUUUACUGGUGCAUCUUACAAAGGUCUUUACAGGUGGGAGGAGAGGGGAGGAGGCAAGCAGAGAGCUGGGAGUCCUGUAGGGAGCCUCCCUGAGAAGGCAGAGCCUGUGGCUGUGUGUCUGGGUUUGCAGCAGUUACCUACAACACAUAACUGGGGGCUUGCCAAGAGUGGGGAGAAGUGGGAAGGAGAAUGUAUGAACUGGAAGUGAAGGCAUGUCCAGCAGAGUGGGCAUAGGCAGUGUCAUUCUGAUUCUGUAAAGGCCUCAAUCCAAAAUGAUUAUUCUGAGCAACUGCAGGAGAGGGUGCAGACACCUAAGUUCUGGUGAUGGGGAUUUCACUGCCAUGCAGAUAAGAGAUUAUUGCUUUCAGGGUUCCAGCUCAAACUAUGGAAUGUCAGGAUAUUGAGGAAAGUGUAGCUACCUAAAAACAGAAUAUGACUGUUCUCCUUUUUCCCCCCCCCCCAUUUAUUUUACUGUUCUGCUUUUUCCUUCUUCCAUCUCAGCAGAUGGGGAUUCUGGAUAGAGCUGGGAAGUGUUCCCUCAAUGCAAUGUUAUUGCUAAGUUAUCCUUAGUUAUCCCUAAAAGCUUAAUGUUAAAUAGUGUUAUUCCAAGGCCAGGCAGGUGAUCCUGCUCCUAAGGCAGCUGCUGUGAACAAGGGACACAUGAAAGGUCCUAUGAAUAUGGAGUUAUUGAAGUCCCCAUUUAACUGAAGCCCCUAAAAUGUACAGUCCACCUGAACUUGCAAUAAACCCUGCUAAACCUGGAAAGUUAGAAUGAAAACAACAACAACCAGAAAAAGGAGGGUUUUCUUCAAAAUGAGAAACACACUGGGUUUCAUAAAUGGAUCAUAAAUGGAAUCUAUACCAACAUUUAGGCAUUAUCUAAUAAUUUCAGUGUAUAGCAAAUAAAUAACUUGCAAUUAUAUUUACUUUUGCUUUCAAAUCCUGGCGCUAUGAAUAAAACACAAGCAUAUUUUUAUUGUUCAGAGAAAAGUAUUCCAUAUAUAAAGAAUAAUAUAGAAAGUUCUCUGAAUAUUUGCUGAGCAAAUUAAGGUUAAUAUUCACCCUAUUGCAUGGGGACCUGGUAUGCAACUUGUUAAUAUGCAAUAAUAUAUAUGAUUUCUUAGCACAUCUCUGAAAAUCCAUCCUUUGCUAUCUCAGAGGUCAAGCUAGGUAAUCCUGAAGCCAAUUCACUUUUGUAAGAAUAAAUAAAUUAAUAAUAAAUGAAUUUAUGAGAAAUGUAUAGGUUGGGCUGGGCAGUCUAUAUUGCACUGAGGACUGGGAGAGAAAACGUUUUCUGGUGGUGCUGUAGUGCUGAAAGCUUUUCACAGAAGCACAGAGUGGGGUGGGUUGGAAGGGACAUUGAGGAUCAUCCAAUUCCACCCCUCUAGACCACACCUCCCACUAGACCAGGGUGCACCAACCUUUACCAUUCUCUAUGAAAUACUCUCUACCUUAAGUAGGGAUUCUCAGACAUUGCUUGUGUUUUGAUCUUCACAAUGACAGGGAAUAAUUCCAAUUGAGUAGGUUGGAAGGAGGCCUUUAGCUCAAUCUUGCUCUGCCAGCAUGUGAAAUGGGAUCUUGUCUUACAGCCUUCCUGCUAAUGUGCCUCACUCUACUUUCCAUUAGUUUCAGGGAAACUCUGAAGUGCAAAUAAAACACUUUAUUUGGAAAUAUUUCAUGGGCAGCUCUCUGCAGUUUGAAAUAAGAUAUUUAGAGAGAGACAAAUUCUAAGAGGGCUACAGGAUUACAAAUCACAAUGUAAUUUUAAAGUUGUAAUGAGAAUAAGUUGCAUGGGAAGGUCUCUUAACAAUUAUUGUCGUGAAAAUGAAGUAGCACAGCGUUAAUGUUUCAUGUAUCCUGUGAAAGAUGAUAAUAAACUGUACUGCUUUGACCUUAUUAAUGUUCUGUAAUUUGACUUGCUGGCAAUUCACAUUUUUCUUUGGUUACAGCCUUGGUAACCUCUGAAGAAGAGGUAGAGCUGACAGUCAAUCUAAACAUAACUGAAUACUAAAAAGGUCAGAAAUAUCAAGAAUGGUAAUUCUGAAACAUCCUUCUCAUGACAAAGGUAGUAGCAAAAAGGCACAAUGUGUAUGUUCAAAUUACAAAGCUUAUUACAGGAAUUUUACUUUUAUUGAGAAGUGUAAACAAAACCACACUUUUCCCUUGUAGCUCACUGAAUGCACAGAUAUGUGUUUUUUGUUUGUUUUUUUUUUCCUUUUUGUAGAAUCAUUGAAUAGUUUAGGUUGGGAAAAAAACCUUUGAGAUCGAGUCCAAGUACUGCUAAGGCAUGUCCCCAAGUGCCACAUCUGCACAUUUUUUAAACCCCUCCAGGGAUGGUGCCUCCAUCAGUGCCCUGGGCAGCCUGCAGCCUGACCAUCAAAGGGUGAAGAAUGUUUUCCUAAUGGCCAAUUUCAGGAUCUCUCAUCCUGUCCCUCCUUCCCUGGGAGCAGAUCCCAUCUGGCUGCACUCUCCUGGCACAGAGGUGCCAACAGUGAGAAGGUGUCCCCGUCCCCACCUCCUCCAGGAUAAUCCCCUCAGGAUCUUCCUGUGGCCAAAGGGCAGCACCCAGCAGGGACCUGGGAGCCUCAUCUUGCCCUAGAAGUUGCAGUUUUUUAUUUUGGAGAGCCCCCUGCUCUACAGCUCCCUGAAGGGUGGCUGUAGCAGGUGGGGCCGGGCUCUUCUCCCAGGGAACCCCUGACAGAAUGAGAGGACACAGCCUUAAGCUGCACCAGGGGAAGUUUAGGUUGGACAUCAGGAAAAAAUCCCCACUGAAAGAGUGACUGGGCACUGGAAUUGUCUGCCCAGGAGGUGGUGGGGUCACUGUCCCUGGAUGUGUUUGAGAACAGCCUGGAUGUGGCACUCAGUGCAGUGGUUUAGUUGAUGAGGAGGUGUUGGGUCAUAGGUUGGACUUGGUGAUCUCAAAGGCUUUUCCAACCCAGUUCAUUCUGUGAUUCUGUGAACCAAACUACAGAUGAAGGAGGCUGACUUCUACACUCUGCUGAAGCUUUUUCACUUCCACAGGACACAUAUAUCUUACUACAUAUUUUGGCUACGUAAUUGAAAACAUAGCCAAUACAUAAUUCUAAAAAAUAGGGUAAUCUAUAGUCAGCCUGAAAGUUUCAGGUUUUUCCCCUUAAAACAAAAACUUCAGAUUUUCCAGGAAUGUACAGAACAAAGUUGUGGUAUUGAACGUGGAGGGCAAAGGUCUGAUUAACAUCUUAACAACAGUCUUUGAUUUCUACUUACUUGACUGAACACUGAAUCAGGCAAGUACAACCCAGUACUGUGUGAUACUCAGCAAUGUCAUUGAUCAAUUUAUUCCUGCGCCAUUGCAGAGUGAAAUGAAUAAUCAAACCUAAAAAGUAUGCUUUGUUCUUGGGGUUUUUUUUUGAGGUGGAUGUUAAUGGAGAGCAUACAACAUGUAUCUUAAUUUCCAUGUGGAAAUACACACAUCAAUAAAAUCCACUUAUUUAAAAAAGAAAUAAAAUCCGAAUUUUUAAAGUCUGUAGCUUGUUAUAGUUUUGGGAUAAAGCAAAAUAUUUUGUUUUUUCCUGUUUAUAAACUUAAAUCUUUUGCAAGCCCUCUCUCAUUCCAGUGUACUUCUAAAUGUAAAGAAUGUAGGAAGCUGCUGAGAAUGGUAUAAUGUGGUAUUUUUCGCAGUUGAUUUGAUACAGAUUGGCACAGUGUACAAAUUAAUGGUGACAGUGGAGAGACUGUGUGGAAUGCUUUUGGAUCCAAAAGUUUUGCUUAAAAUUUUAAAUUAUAUUUAGGCUAUUUCUCUGACACUUUUUCAAUUGUAGGUUAAGGUUUGUUUUUUUUUUUCCUGGAAGUGAGUGUGAAUGAGGCUCUUAACAAUCUGAAAGUAUAAUUUCAUAUACAGUCCUUCUCAUGUAAAAUUGAAUCCAUGAAAGAAAACCAAGACAAAUAUCCAUGGCAGCUGAGAAGUUCACCUUGUUUUGCCAAGUGAGCUGAGCAGUACCCACACAGUUCCUUCUGCACUAGCUGGAUCCUUGGGAAGCCAGGCAUAGCUUUGGGAAAUGCCUUAAACAAUUUUGAGAUGUUGAAGUUUCCAGUUUCAGCAGUAUUUAAUAAACUUACCUAUAUAAUAUGCAUGGGAUAAAAAGUCUUCAGGCCAAAUCAUGAUGUGUUGAAGUUAAGGAGAUGUGUAAACAGCAGUGUGACAUGAAUACCUGUCUGGGUGUUUUGGGGAAGGUUUCAUUUUUCUUUCCUUCUUAGUCACUCUAGCACAUUUAAAGAUGUUUGUUUGGUUUUUUUUUACUGAGACAAUAUUGAAAUUCUUUCCAGUGUCAUAUACUUUUUGAGACUUCAGAGCAGCUAUAUAACAUCACAGGAAAUAAUAUCAGAACACUUCAAAAUUCACAAAACAAAGACUAAAGUCUCAAAAUAGUAUUUUUAAAUAAAGACUGACCAUUUAGUAGAAGGAGUGCAUUCAUUCUUGGAAGAGAUUAGCUAAAAAUCUUGAAAAAUUCAAAUAUUCUGAGCUAAGGAGCUGGUGUCAGACCCCUGUAUUAUGGACAGUGGUUUUGGUACUGAUGAGCCACAGCUGCACAAACAGUUCCAGCUUUCAGAUGUAGAAUGCACAACUCUCCCAUAUUUGCCAAAAUUAAUUUUAACACAACUUUAUGGAUUCAUGAAAAGCCUUUCUCAGACUCCUGAUUUGCACUUAGAAGUGCUGCUUUUCAUGCUUUUGCCUUCACAACUCUGCACACAUCUCACCUCAGUCCCAUUUUAUGCCCAAAUACACCUCUAGCCCACACAAACCAGCAGCUGCAUAAUUUUUAUUGUUGCACAUCAUUUACAAUUUAAUGCUGAAUCAAAAAUCUGAGGCUCUAGAAAAUAUUCUUCAUGCUGAAGAGAUGAGCCCUACAGCAGAUUAAGAUGUGGGUGGUUCUUUAGGUGGAUGGUUCUUUAUCAGUGAGGGGUCUCUCACUGCUGUCAGUUUUGCCUCUAACUCCAGGUAUCUCACAACCUGGAAUGUGGAACCUGAGAGUGAUUUGAAAUAUGUGGGGAAGAUACCUGUUGAAAUAGUAGAGGAAAGUUAUAUGACCUUUUAUUUACCAAAAUUGUCUGGAAUUGACUUGCAGAGAGCUCUGUUUACUGUGCUGUUGUCAUUUGCUCUGCAUUCCUUAGAAAUCCUUAAUUUGGAAUAGUAUGAUGAGGAAUAGUAUUCCACUUACCCAAAUAUGUAUUGCAACAAUUUUCUAGAAUGUCUUGUUUGGCAGCUACUGUUAUUUUCUACAGUGUUCAAAUGACAAAUUAGAUUACCACAUAAAUUAUACCAUUAGUUUGUUAUUAGUUUAUAAUUAAAAAUUACUUAAUCUGUACUUUACAGAUUUUACAGAUGGGAAAAAAUAGUCUCAGUGAGAGCCUACUGUAGUCACAUGGAAAUGGAUUUUGAAUAAAGCAGAAGAACAGCGUGGUUGGAAAAUUAAUUAAAUACAAAUGUACAUAGCUGUGAUUGCUUGGAAUUUGUAAACAGCCAAGCAGCUGACACAGCUCACAGUGCACAGGAACACAUGGAUGCUAAUUCCAGCACUGCAGAAAGAUCUGUUGCAAGGUUGCAUGUUUUCACUUGUGCUUUUCAUGACUACAAAUCAAAAAGAAAUGUUGGGUUUGUGUCAAAUAUUACACAAUGCAUAAUCCAUGGGGAAUUCUCACCCAACUCUGAGAGUGAAGAUGUGAACUGCUGCUGCAUUUCAGUGUUAGUCUGGGUGAGCAGGAGCUCAUCUCACAUGUUUAUUCAUAAAUCCUCUUUAUGUGAGUGCAGUAUGGGUCCUAAAAAGUGUCAAGAAUGUGUUUAAUGAAGGAGAGGACAGGAACUGAAGGGUAUGUGGUAGAUCUUUAAAGCCCACUGGCAUUCAUAAAACAGAUACAGGUGGGACAUAAACUGCAGAACUAGAUAGGUGAGGAACUUGCUUAUAAAAUGAAAAUGUGUUUUAUACUGCUGGAUCUGAAAGGUUUGAACAGCAGCUUUUAAAGGUAAAGGUACAUUCCAAGAAUAGUCUUUGGUUUAGUGUGCAUUAUAAACAUAUUUAUGUAAUCAAAGAAAUAUUGUCUCUAUUUUUGUUUGAGAUGUAGUAGCAGAAAAGUAAAAUGGUAAAUUCCAUGAUCACUGUUUCUUUCUUUUCAAACUUCACUUGGAAAAUGUAUUUUAAUAGUGGAGAACAAAUCUGGCUUCUCUGUCAGUGACUCUGCACAAAGAUAGGACAGCUCCUUUACGAGUGCCUCUUCCUGAAAGAAAGACUAAGAUUACAUAUGAUACUAAGUACUGUGGAAAUUUUAUUUUAAUAGAUUGACAACAGUGAUUAAAGUGAAAUAUAUACAGGCUUGGGGUGGGAAGGGAAGGUGCUGCUUUUAGGACUACUUUGUGCCACAUGAUAUAAGUUUUUACCUGCCGCUCCAAAAAAACCUCAAAAAAUCAAAUCUCUCCCUUAAACUUUAAAGUAAUUCUGCUUUUAGUAAUGUAUGACUUAAAAAUGUGUCCAUUUAGUUCAAGAGUAAAUAGUUUUAUAUGUACUUGGAUUAUGGUUUUGGUAUAUUUAGCUCCAGCCUGUAAUCUAGAUGUACUAUUUAAUAUGUAAGUACUUUUGAGAAAAACUAAGUUUUUUCACUGUUGAAAGGGAGAUUAAAAUUAGAUGUGUCAUAAUAUUGAAUUCAUGCCUAAAUCCUUUAAGUUAUCUGUAACUAUAUAAACAUAAAUAGGUAAGUACACAGUACCUAUCACUCAGUAUCUACAUAUUUAAAACAUUCAAAUAAAAUCCCAUUAGAAAUAUUCUCUUGCUUAUAAGCUUUAAGUUAGAACUGUCUCUGUCACUUGAGGGCAUUCCCUCCCUUGCAGGGCACUACCAGUGGUUUAAGUGAAUUAAAAAUAUCUUCCAGCUGGGGGCUCAAGGAAAAAAACCUUCAGCCUGAGAGAAGAGGCAACAGGUACCAAUUAGGCUAGGACAUAAAUAGAAAAGAAGCCCAGAUUGCUGUUCUAGAAGCCUCUGUGGGCUGUCUCGUGGUGUGAGUUGUUGUAUGGGGAUGGAGACCUUGAAGAUCUGUUUUGCAUUCCUCUCACCUAAAAGCCAGUGUAACAAAAUGGAGAAUUCACAUCAUAUUCAGGAAGGAGAAAUCCAGUUUCUCAGGCUGACACUUUCUUAAAGCUGUGAAUCUUGAUGUUUUAAUCUCAUGCAUUUUGGUAGUGCUUGAUAUUCAUAACUGGUAGGUUUGAUAAAUUUUUAACAAGAAAGUUGAAGAUGAUGAGAAAACACACGGGGAGUUUUGCAUUUCUCACCUUGUACUCAAGCCUUCAGGUUUAAUUUUCACUUUUUGCACCAAGAAUGUUCCUUGGAGGAAGACUGACUAGAUCUCAUGUUGCCCUAAGCUGGCUUUAAUCCAUUAAGGUAAAAUAAAAACCCAAACCUUGCAGAGUUAGCUUUCAAAAACCCCAAUUUUAGUAAAGGCAAUAAUAUCAGUGCUUGAGAUCAAGAAGAGAUCCAUUUAAAACUAAUCUAAGUAUAUGUUUUUACUCAUAACCUAUGGGAUAAAUCUUGUAAUUUCUGCAUAAGUAAAAUAACAGAUAUAUCAAGAUGGGAAUACAGUUCAAAUAUCUACCUUGCCCUAGUUGUAUUAUGGAAAGAAAAUCUAAUAAAAAUAGAUUAAAAGAGAAGGCCGAUAAAAAUUGGAACUGAGACACCAGCUAGGAAGCACAAUUCAAUUUAUUUUAAUUUUUAGUAUUCUCUAUCUUUUAUUCAUAAUUCAGAAAAUUAUAUUAAUAUGAGAUUGGAGUUCCUGAGUUGAUUUGAAGGAAACCAUUACCUGCCUUUCUGUAACUAUUUUCUUUCUGUUGGAUGGGCCUAUUUCAGUUGAUGUAUGUUAACUUUCACACAAGCAUCACAAUUAUGAGUGUGCUACAAAGCCUUGUAUUUACAGAAGUGCACGUGGGCUCUAACAUUCUUCUCAUUAAGGAUAAAUUAGAACUGAUGACUGUAGAAUGAUGACACGAGUUAAUUGCUCAGGAGCAUUUGGAUAACUCACAUUGGAUUUACUGCCUUAAUGAGAGGGAAGGAGGAGGAAGAAGCAGAAAAUUGUCACUUAUAAUGUUUUGGAUGUAGCCUGUAUGCAGAAUUCUGCUGCUGUGGAUAAUGCCAGUGGAUUCACUGCUUGGAAUAAUCCAGUGUUGGCACAGCUUUGCACAAACAGACCUGACUCACCUGCUGGGAGACGCUGCUGCCCCAGUGCCUCGUUUUUAGGAAUAUCACUGGUGUAGAGAAGUGUUUCUCACGAUUCCUCCACAGUCAGGGAGGGGGUUUAAUUUAUAUGCUGUCAUUCAGAGCACCUUGAUUCCCUGUGAAAGGCCUGUGCAGGAAAUUCAUGAUGUUUGAGCAUGGUAACUUGUUUAAUGCCUCUGCAAUUGACUGUGGCUGGUGCAUGGAAACACUGCAGGUUAAAGGAGAUAAGGCACACACUAAUUCCAGUUACUCCUAUUGGAACUGUUCUUGAUGAAACUAUUUAUUAAAGAAAGGAUUUCACAAGCAUUUUAAGGUCUGAUUCAUGUUAUUUAGGAGCUCCUGCUGUUUACCAUCUGUGUAUUUGCACUUAGUAUUAUUUAAAAUAUAUUACUAUUUCAUAAGAAAAAAUUACAACUGUUUUGCUUACUUUUAAAGGGGUAUACACCUUUUUAUUUAAUUCCUUAUGUAUAAAAUCGUGUUAAUUAAAGUUCUACUACUACACAUCAUUGCGGGUCUUUAGGAGUCAGUUAUUGGGAUAGAAGGGAAAAUAAUCUAAGUGUCACUUCUUAAUUGGGCAACUAAGUUUUUGAUUAGGCUUAAAAGGCCUUGUGACAGGAGAUUGUUGGCCAUUUUUGUGCUGUUUUCCUGCAUGCAAGGUUUGGUGCAGACAGCCUGCUGAGGUUUUGAUAAGAUAACAAUAAAACAAGAAGCUGAAGACCAAAAAAGUCCUGUGUGUCUGCUUUUCCUGACACAGAACUGCUCCAGGAGGGUUUCCCCUAUCAGGGGAUCCCCCAGGGGGAGCCCCAACAUGGGGCCAACAAAGCCAUAGGGAAACAUUACAGAAAUACACAUUUGUUUCCUCUAACUGAGGAAACUAACUCCUAACUCUUGCAGGAGAAUCAAUUGCAAUAAAACCCCACAUCUUUGUAAAAAGCUGUAAUUAUUGAUAUUACUGUCAUUAUUAUCGUAAUUAUUAAGGAUUCACCUGCUUCUGUAGUGUCUUUAAAAUCUUUUGGCAGCCUUCUGUCUUCAUAACAUAAAUUCAAUAACCUCUUUUGUGUUAUUAUUGUUCUGUGUUUAUUUUAACUGGGCUAUGUCUGGCAGACUUAGUUCAAAAUGUGUGAACAGUUUCAGGCGAGCAGUUUUCUUUCAGAUCCUGAUUUGUAGAGUAGGAAUGAUGUUUUCUAUAAUGAAUAUAUUAAUAAAUUGUUUUGACACAUUGGCAAAAGCUUUCAUGGAAAUGGAAAUAGAGUUCUGAGGGAAAUAUUUUUGUAUAAAAUAACCCUAAUGUUGGUGUUCAAGUUUUUAUAGUUUUUUGACUCUCCCAUCACAUCUGGAUCAAAUUAAAAUAAUUCAGGAAGCACAGAUGCCCUUCCUGGAGCUAAAUUUCUGGAAAUUCAAAUUAUAAUGAUAUAGAAUACUUUCUUGGAUUUAGGUGAUAUAAGUGAUAAAGAUUUUCUUUUGAUUUUUAAUUGAACUAUUGGAGAGAAGCAGUGGGUAUUUAUGUUGCAAUGCUGGUGGAACAAUGCAUGGUGGUGAGGGAUGAAACUUAUAGACAGUUAUUUUAAAAAUACACAAAAUAAUGCAUAUACAUGCUUCAUGUAUCAUCAUUCAGUCCUUGCAAUAUCUUUGUAACUUCUGAGAAUACUGAAGUUUUUUCUAAGCAUACUAAAAUUAAUAAUUUUGAAUUCUGUCAAAGAUCAAAUUAUGUUCAAUAUGGCAAUAUGAAUAUUAUGCUGACUGCAAGCUCCUAUUGGCUUCAUUGGAAGUAAAUCAAUAACUCUGAAAGGCAGUGCUGUGCUGCUGUCUAGCUCUGAUCACUUCCUGAUCAAUUCAGUUGCUGAUGGGAAAUGUUAUGUUUGGUAGGAUAGAUUAUUGAAUAAAUUAGAAAAUACUGCUUAGCAUGAAGAAAAACCUACAUAGAAAAGUGAUCUGAAAAUAUCAAAUAGACAAAAAUGGAAUAAUUAUCUGUUCUCAGCAGUUCUUUUCAUUUAAUAUAUUAAAUUAGGUGUAACGUUUAAACUAGUUCCUAUGGCAUAUCAUUAGAAUUUUUGGAUGGGAGAAGACAAUCCAUAAAAAUACUAGUGUUGGUAUUGCUGCUGGAGAUAGCUUUAAAAAUAAGGAUUUUUAUCUAUCCUGAGAAAUGGGGUGGUGGGGGAAAAAAAAUACCCAGUGAAAUAAAGACAAGAGCAAGGGAGAAUAGUAAGAAUUGUAUAUUUUAUAUAUAUAUAUAUGUACUAGGAAUGGUAUAUGAUUCAAUAGCAGUCCUGGAUUGCUUUUUUGGGCACAAAUGAAGCACGGAGCCAAAUUCCACUCACACAUUGCCCUCUCCCCUUCCAGCAGCAGGGGCACGGGGCAGGGGAGGGGACUCUGACCAGUGAAUAUGCUCCAGAGGGGGAAGGAUGGACUCACUGAAUUUGGUUUUUACAAAUCCCAGGCUGCACAACUGCUGCUGCAUCUCCUGCAUCGGUUCCGCUGUCUGCAGGGGCUGAUCUAUUGAUUGUUUGUUGUAAAGACAUAAGCAGAGACUUCACCACAAUCAGAUUUUGAACUGUAACAAUUAUAGUCCUGUGCCAAUAUUUUUCUUAACAGAUUUAGGCUGUUCCGAAAUUUGCCAAGCUAGAAUUAUUGUUGUUUUCUUAUUUGAAAUAUUUGCAGUUUGAAUUCUUAAUGGUGCGGUUCAGUUUGUUCUGUGUCCUAAUUAUGUUGCUCCCUCACAGAUCUUUAGGUUUCUUUGUGUGGAAAUUUGCAUUUCCAUUUCAUAUCAUUAUCCUAAUGGCCACGUAUGAACAUUGUUUCAGUUGCUAAUUAUUUUAAACAAGUAGUGUAUAAACUUGUCAUUUCGUUUUAAAAAAUAUACCUAUUUUAAAUAUGGUUUAGUUUUGCUAAAUUUUGCUGAGGGUUGUUUGAAAUUUCUUUCUCCUAUCAUCAUAAUUUCAGUAUGAAAUAUUUUUAUUAUGUUUAUAAAUCAAAACUAGUGGGCAAAUAUGUAAUAAGAAUUUGGUAGCUAUGAAAGAUAGAUGUAUAAAAGAUAAGAAAGCAGAUAUCUGGCUUAAUCCAAUUUGAGAAUAAAUUGAAUGUUUUUCUGGAGAAAAAGAACAAAUCCAGAUUCUGCUUCCAUACCAAUAAUGCCACAGAGACCAUUUGUUGAGAUGCAUGUGUUCCUGGACUUCACUGGUGAGUGUAUUAGGCUUUUGAGUUCCUCAGAUUAUCUUCUGCCACGGACAGAAAGGAAAAAGGGGUGAAAAGACCCAUAGGGUUGGCUGGGCUGUGUUUAACUAAUAUUAACUAAUCACAAUUCCAUCAGCCAUUCUUUUGACUCGUGAGGAGCUGGCACCUCUUGCUUUCUCUAAGGACUCGGGUGCCUGCCAUUUUCAGGGGUUUAACAGGAUGAAGAUGCAGAAACAUGGUGGCAAAGUCUUUCUGGCAUGCAAAAAGCAAUGAUUUACCAGAGAGUAGAAAUCUGAAUUUGCAGUGAUCACAAGGAACUUUUUUACAUUACUUGAAUUGGAAGGAAAUGAAUGCUAGCACCUCUCAGACAACACAACUCGCUGUAAUUCUGUUUCCUUUCAGUGAACAAGUAAAGUGUAGGAAUGUUCAGGUCCCCUCUCUCCUGUCUUGAUUUCAAUGCCUCGUUUGGGUGACCAGGGCCUGCAUUCCAACAGAAUCACUGCUGGAGUGACAUCCCUAAUUAUUGUAAAACCAAAGCCAAGCAGUUCAGAAUACUCUCCUACUAUUUUGCAAAGUCAAAGGAAAUAAAAAUAAUUCUCCAGAUAUGUUUCAGUCAGAGUUACAAAUUAAUUCAUCUGAUAUAUUUUUGGUAAUUUUCUUGGCAACCAUUUACAGGACAGAUUAUUGAAAGUUUCUGUGAAAAUUUAUGUUUGUUUUUUUUUUUUCUGCAACCAUAAAUACUUUGUUUUUUCCUGGAUAAUUUUAACUACAGUAAUCAGGUUUUCUGGGUGACCUAGCAUAUUUAUAUGGAUAAAAUGAUGAAAAUAAUCAAUGGAGAAUGGUAAGAGUAGAGUAAAAAAUAAACUAGAUUUACUAGCACAAUAUGUUAUUGACCUAAUGAGAUUAGAUUGUAUUCCCAAUUGCACUUCAGGGAGUAUAAUUCAAUCUGUACUCACUUGCAGUCGUUUAAAACACUCCUCAUGUUCUUAAUGCUAUUCAAAUGGCUUCCCCAUCCUUAAAAGCUGAGUCUUUUUCAAAGAGGCAUCUACAGCAAGACUAUCUCUGUUUCAGAAUGGGAUGGGGGGUGCCUGGAUGAGUCCCAUUCCUACAGAUUAUCCUACAGCCAUAAAAUAAUUGACUCGGUGGAAUCUCAGGAGAUGAUCAAAUCUAAUCUUUGGUUGACAGUGGCUCUAAUGCUAGUGGUAAAUCAGGUCAGUUGUGGAUUUGUCUAGAAAAGUCUUGAAAACCUCUGAACAUGGAAUGAAUAUAAAAUCUAUGUUACAUUCCCCACCUGGAGCAGAGCUUUUCCAUAGUCUGCAGGCUCAGCCUACCCAACUGGUCUGAUUUGUUGUAUUCUCGAGGCUGGGAAGAGUUUGGCUGUGACAUCCUGCAACUACUUUACAAGUAACUGCAGGCUCCUGUUAGGUUUUCUUUAGGCUUUUCUCUGCCAGACUGUGCAUGGCUGUACCCUCUCCCUCUGAGCUUUAGGCCCUUUGUCACCAAGGCAUCAGCAGGACCUUCUUCAGUUUUACAUUGUUCUUAAACUGGAGGAGAACCAAACUGGGUAUGGUUAUAGUCUGAGAAAAAACUACUUAAACAGCUGAUCCAACAGAGCAAUUACUCAUGAGAACACCUGAAAAUAUCUGCCUGUAUACAUUACCUUUUAUGCCAGCUGUACUUCUUCUGGAGUUCCUGUCAAGUGUUAACACUAGACACUUGAAAGGAGUUGGGAGCUACAGGCUUUUUUCGUUAAUCAGUAAUAUUAAAUUAGUUGGUUAAAUAUUGCUGUGUUGGCAGAUAUUCAAGACAGUCUGAAAAGGAUGCAAAAACUGAUCUCAGCUUGAAUGAAGAUACUGGUCUGAGUUCCCAUGAGGGGAUGUUUAAUGAGGAGGCAACUGUAAGAGAGCAAAGCACUUUCUGUGGAGAUGUUGGCAAAUAUACUGGGUCAGGAAAAUUUUUAGACACCUUAUAAGAGAUGUGGUAUCUGAUUUGGGAAUACUUCAGGUGUCCUUUACUAAGAAACAGCUUUCUCAGACACAUGGAGAGAUUUUGGGGGUGUUCAGAGACAGGAGCUGGACCCAGUGAUCUGUGUGGGUCCCUUCCAGCUCAGGCUUGUGCUUGAUUUGCUGUUAUUGGGACAGCACUUCAGAAAAGGGCCAGGGAAAAAAAGGGAUUUGUCAACCAGAUACCCUAUGGAGAUGGAUUUUAAAUCUUAGGAUUUAAAGUGUUUGCUUGUGUUCAAAACAAAGUAUUGAUUACCACUGUAAUCAAAGAGAGAUUUUAAUGGUUCUCACAAGUACUUUCCAAGCAAAUAAGGCGAGGGUUAGUGAAAUGACUUUCCAUGCUACAAUAGGAGUUAUAUUUAUUGAUGUUUCCCAGAGUCAUCUAGACUUUGUGUGGGAUAAAGGCUUGUCUCAAUCAAAUUUUAUGGCCUGGCUUUAUGUGACUAUUUCAAAAUAAUACAUAGUUUGAAAAUAAUAUUGUGUAUUGCUUACAUAACUGCAUAGAUGUUAAUAUUUAUUACACUUAAGAUUUUUAGCAGUGAGUCAACAAAUAUCCCAGUAUUGUUUGGCUUAUUUUCAUUUCCUUUCCUAUUUACUGAAUCACGGAGUUGUAAUUAUUUUGUACCUGUAAAUUAAAAUAUAACAGUGUUAAGAAUGCUUUUCUUUUCAGAGAUCUGGUGGCCAUAUAACAGUGUUUGUUACCAGGGUUUACUCAGCUUGGCAAUAGUGGAGUGGUAUUACCAAACACGGGAUCAAUUGUUCUCCUUAAUCAAUAAAUCUAUCUCUGAAUUGGUUUUAGGGUAAAUCAUCUUUAUAGACUGAAGAGCAAAACUUGCCUGUAGUUUACCUGCUAAUUGAAAUGAUUGUGCACAACAGUGUUUAUGUUUUGUUGCCUCUUGCUUGUUCUGCUUUUUUCCCCUCAUGAAUUCUGUCCUUGUGUGAAAUAUCACUGUACAUCAUGCAGAGAGUGUAAUUCAGCCCCUUCUCAUGUCAGACUUGUGAGCAUUAGAGCAAUAUUAUAAUUUUUCUUCUAGGGCUAAGCCACUGAAUCACAGUGGUUUGUAUCAUUAUCUCUAUAACUUGGCAAAUAUGGCCAAUCCUUUCGACUCCUGAAUUAUCAGAUGUUUUAUGAGCAGAUUUUUAAAUUUUUUUUGUGAUGUAUUCCACUGUAAGGAAAUGAUAUUUAAGCAGAAGUCAUUUGCCUGAAUUCACACUAUUGGUUAUUGCCUGUGGUGACAGUGCAGUAUUGCAUUAUGCUUUAUGACUUUUUGUCUUCUUGAAUAAUGAUGUUUCUGUUUAACUGAGACUGUGCUAGAGCCUCAAUCAAGAAUGCUGAGUACCAUAUGAACUAGAGGGUUAAUCAGAAAUUCCUCAGAGGGUAGUAAAGCAUACACGUUUUACAUUUAUGAACACUGAACCAGAUCAAUUUUUUUAAUAGUAUGGAUUUUUUUUGCUUUAUUAAAUGAUAGAGCUGGCCAUAUAUAUUCUUGUCAUUAAUCAAUAAUUUCUACUGUUUUAAUUUUAUGUUAUGAAAGGCAAGAAAGCUCAUCUGACUUAGGGAAUACUAAGUUGACUCAGGUAAAGAAUUGCCAAGGGAUGGCGAUUUAUUAUGAAAUCUGGGAAAGAUCAGAGUGAAUCUUCCCACUCAAUCUUUUUUUUUUUUAAUCAAGCAGAAUCGGAUUUGCCAAGUAAUGGAAACAAAAAGCCUUCACUUAAGUCAAUUAUUUCAAUCUCAAUUAAAAAUAAUGUUCUUGUCAGACUGUUUUUAAUCUAAGUAACUCUGCUGGUCUGAGCCUGCUGCUUUGUGUACUCAACACUUCUAUUUCAAAGGUAUUAAUGAUAUAGAACUUUGAGUAGAUUUAGGCAAUGCAUAAAUCUCUGUAGGAUAAGAGUCCCAUGUGUUUACAGUAGUAAAGUUCUUUACUGGGCUGGUACAAAUUAAACUGUAACUCUUUCAUAUGUUACAAAACACCACAAUAAAUUUUAAUUUGUCGAAUUUUUCCUUUGUAGAUGAUUGGUGUGGAAUUACCCGUUAUAUUUAUAAAUGUAUUUUUACUUUGGUAGCAAAGGCAAGGCAUAUUGUAGAGGUAUAUUUUAGUUUGAUGGCUCAGCAAUAAAUGUUAUGUAUUUGCCAUUUUCAGGACUGCUUUUUAUUUAUCAACCUGCAGAAUAAUCUUUAGGUUUGUAUUUGAGGGAUGUGUCAUUUACAAGGUCAUUUAAGUGGUGGGCAUUGGUGCAGGAUUACAAUAAUAAAUAAUAAUGAUUCCUCAUAGAGUGUUCAAUUGCUGAACUUUUUCAUUUCAGUGUGCUUAAAGGUAAGGAAUAGUAAUCUCAUAAAUUGCAUUAAUCAGGAAAUUCCCAGCUCUGUAAAACAGAGUAGCUUGGUUGUGAGUCCCUUGCACUCUGGAACUUCAUCCAGACUGAACCAAAGCUCUCUAACUAUUCCUCUGUCUGUGGAGUAGAAGCAAAGAUCUGACCAAGGAGGACUGUACAAGGCAAGAAUUGCAGCAGCUCAGUGGAAUGAAAGGUGCAUGGGAAAGGAAACACAGUAAAUCCAGUUUAUGUGCAGAGCAGGUGUUGGUUAAGCCUUAGGUUAGGGAUUCAGUCACAUUUUCCUUUCUCUGUGCUUUAAUGUGAGCAUAAAUGUUUCCAGAUCUGAGCAAAUGCACCAAUCACCUUCAAUUUAUGGAAGGGAAUAUGGCAUGGUCUGUUAUUUUGGGAAGUAAUGAACCAAAGCCCCUUGGCUUUAGCUGUGGCUCAGCAAAACUCUUAAAGAUGACAGUAGCUGGCUGCAUCUGGAUUCUUGACUGCACAGACUGGUUUGGUUUGGGUUUGUUUUUUUUUUUUUUUAAUCUCAAAACCCAAGAUGGGGCUCCCCCUGGAAAACUGCCCUCAGGGAUAAGGGCAGAUAACAGAAAAGAGUUGAUGGCUUUAAAAAGACAUUUUUCUUAUGGCACAAUAACUCUUAUUCCCAUGUGUGGGAAAUCAGGCAGGUGAGGCAGCAGAAUAUGAGUGAGUUAGGACCUCCUGGAGAACUGAUGUACAAUAAGGAAUAAAUCCUGGGAAGAUCAUAGGGGUGUUGCUAGCAUGGGAUCAGGAAAGGUAAAGCACAUUUGGAGUUUGAAAUUAGUCAAGAAAUUUGAAGAACCAAAGGAAGAGCUUCUACUGGGACGUUGGUCAGAAAAGCAAGAAUUAAGAAAAUAUACCCACUCACCCACUCCCAAAUAAAUAAGACAGGAAAUCAAGUGGCAACCAGCAUGGAGAAGGCUGGGGAGUUUUUACUCACGACCACUUUUCCCUCAUCUCUCAAGUGUCUGAGGCUCAAAGCAGGGACUGGGCAAACCAAGUCGCUCCUGUUUAGGAGGAGGUUGGGUUUGAAGCCAUCUAAGGAACCCAAACCUACACAAGUCCAUGGGAAAUAAAUAAAUGUAUCCCAGGGUCCUGAGGGAAUUGGCAGAUGCAGUUGCUAGGACACUUUCCAUGAAAUUUGAAAAGUGGUGGCAGUCAAAGCACUCAGUGAUUGGAGAAAAAAGAAUACUUUAAAAAAAGGUAAUGAGAUUCUGUGAUUUGGAGAUGCUUGACUUGGAGAAUUUGAGGAAAUAUUUUCAAUUUAAAAUAAUCAAUGCAUCCUAAAAAGAAGUUUAGAUAGAUGUUUUUCCUAGUCUUUCACUUCAAAAUAUGGGGCAUGGAAUGGUGUUAUCCAAUAACUUGAAUCUACUCAGACACAUAAAAUUGUUUGUGUUUCACAUUAAAUACCUCAGCCCAGCUCUUGGUGACCAGACCUUUAAGACUUUAUUGGUGUUAGAAUAUCUGGGGUUUGUGCAGUCUGAAAGCUUCUUAGAGCACAUUAUAAAUCCAUGAGUGUGUAUGUGUGACCUGCAGUGCUACCCUGGCUUGUUUUAAAGUGUAUUUAUAUCAGGAUGCAUGCAGUGCCCUUUCUAGGAGAGCUCUAAUAAUAUGUGAAAGUGUGGUGAAUAACUGAAAAGAUUAUAUUUUCUGUGCCUUUUAUUACUGUAAAACAUAAAAAGGAGCUUUGUGGUCCUCCUUAUAGCCAAUAGUCUGGAUAGAUAUUUACAGAUAUAUAUCUAUAUAUAUAUAUUAAAAUACUUAACUCAUCUACUUAUAAAUCAUCAUAAAGAAGUAGCAACUUUAUGAAAGUAAAAUCAAUACAAAUUGCAUGUGGCUCUUGGGACAGAUUUUAUAAACUGGGUGUUUUUCUUGUAGUAACAUAAACAUCUAUGAAUAUUAAGCCACUUUUUUUUUGCAAUUCAAUUUUAAUGUUUCAAAUAUAGAACAGGGACUAUUUUCCCCUUACUAUGUAAUUUCAAUUCCCAGUUUUGCUGAUGGCAUUUAUGAUCAUAAAUAGAGAUAUUAAAAAAUAGAGGCACAAAAUUUGCUCAAGUGAUUUGCUGAGCAGGCUGCAUGUGCAUAAGUAAAAGAUGCUUAAGUACACUUAGAACUUUAAAAAACGGUCUCCUCGAUCAGUUCUUUUCAUAGUGAGGAUUAUGAAACUUUACUGGAUUACAGCAAAUAUAACUGAUAUUGUGACCCUUGCAAAGAUUUAAUUUGAGUGUGUUUUUACUGCCUUUUGGGACUCCAUGAAAUAAUCAAUCCAGAAGUAGCGUAACAAUAGAAAAAUUUUAGGAAGUUUUAUUGUAAAGCACUUAAUUCCACUAAGAAUUUGUCUUGUGGGGUUUCUUCAUUUCGUUGCUAAUUUUACAGUUUGUUGGCUGUAUGUGCCUGUACAUCCAGAUGUGUCACUUGGGAAGGGAAUGGAUGUGGCCUGGUUAUGGGAGUUGCUUGCAAGCAGUAUUUUGGGAAAUGUUUGAAAAACAAUUACAGUGGAAUAAUAACUAUUUCAAUCCCAGCAGAGAAAAUAAAUGUCAGGUGUUGGUUGGAAGUCACGUUUCAAGAGUGCAAUCUGUAGAACACUGGUGUUGCUGGAAUGGAGACUGUGAGGACAUUUGAUAAACUUCCAUGCCACUUUACGUACAGCACAACUUGAUUCCUGCAAAAUUUGUACUUGUGCAAUUUUGCUGAAGUUUCUGAAGGUCAUUAAUUUGUUUGCAAAGUUUGUGCAUUUUUUAAAUUAUCCAGUGAAUGCAGCUGACAUUAAUCAUGAGGUGAAGAGCCACUGCUCAGAGUGACAGCAGGGCUGUGCAUCAUAGUCAAGAACUGCACACCAGCCAAAGUGACUAGAGUGAAAUAAUUUCAAAAGAUAAAACACAAAGGGCUCUAAUCCUAUUAAAACAUGUCAGUAAAUAAUAGGUUUUUGUUACUGGUUUAUUUUCCAAAAUUUCUGGGGUAUUUAGUUAAACAUUUAGAGGGACUAAUUGUAAAUGAUAUAUACCCAUAGUUACUUUGGUUAAUAAAAAUGGAAAUACCUGUGCAAAACAGAACUGCUUUCGAUGCUGUAAUGAAAUUGCAUCUUGGAAAACACCAUAAUAAGGCAAGAAUAAAACCCUAGGUAUAUGUAAUUUCAGAUUCAAUUUUCUCUGGAUUGAGAAAUACUGUCUGGGUGGGGGUACCACUUUUAAACUGUGCAGAACUACCUCUAUCUUAGUGCAUUAUCCACUCAGAUUAAUUCCAAGUCUAAAAUUGUACUAGGAUUUCUGUAGUUUUCACAAACUGAAAUUAGAUUUUUAAGCUGAUUCUGAAACUAUAGUUACUUUUGAACUUUUUCCUUGUACUUCUCUAUAAUAAUUAUUCAUGACCUGAGUACAUCAAAACAAAAUUAGGGCAGAGAGAGCUAAAGCUGUCUUUGUCUAGCCUGGAAUAUCCUGUAUCAUUCUCAGAUUUUCUGUACUUCCAUUCAGGACUAGAAAUGAUUUGUGGAGUCAGAAUGCAUUUUUAUCUUUGAGGUUCAUGUUUGAGUUUGAGGAAAUUAUAGGGACAAGUCUUAGGAAUAACCAGAAACCAAUGGCCAUAUUUCUGAAUUUACUACUUGUAUUUCUUUUUCCUGUCUAUUUUCCUUAGGAACUGAGCUCAUGUGAGAACACUGAGAACACAGCCUGACCCACUGCUUGUCCAAUAUCUUCACAGUCCAAAAAUUUAAUCUGGAAUGUCUACCUGUGUGAAACCUUUUGUGUGGCAUUAUUUUCACUUUAUAGGCAGGCUUUUGCUACAUGAACAUUACUACUGUAGCUGUGGGAACAUCACUUUUUUUUUUUUUUUUUGGUGCUAAAUAGACAUAAUGUGUCUCAAUAUGAGCAGAGUACAUUUUGAGCACUUAGCCACCUUCUUACAUGGUGUUUGGACAUCAGUGAAGAACAUUAUUUAAAGAAUCUCCAUUUUCUAAGUUGUGGAAAGUUCAUUGUGGAAGAUGGAGAAUAAAAGCAAAAGAAAAAUGCAUUUAGUUAAAUGUAGCUGCAUUAAAUGAUGUAGUUAAGAGACACUAGCUCAGAUCUCUACAGAAGUGGGGUUUUUUGUUGUUGUUGGGGGUUUUUUUUUUGUUGUCGUUGUAUUUGUUUUGUUUUUUCCUUGCAGUGUGAAAAUGUAGGAAACUCGGGAAACAUGGAUAAUUCAGGUAUCAAGUAAGAUAGAAACUAGUAGCAAAUGAAACAAAUUCCUGCUUUAAAGUCCCAAAACAGAGUCAAAAUCCUUCUGGAUAGAUCCUAAUAACUCAGGCUGAGAAAAGAGAACUGUAAAAUGUUGUGGGCAUGUAGAAGCACUGUUGGUGGGUUUUAUUCUACACUGUGUGUGCUGAGAUUCUCAUUCUGGAAUUCACUGCUCUGCCUCUCAGCUUUCCUUUCUGAUCCUGCUCAGCUCAUGUGGAUUUAACAGCCAUCACCAUUAUAUGAAUGAUUUUGCAAACAAUGUUCUUUUUUCCCCAUAUUGAAAACAUAGAAAGUUAGAACAUAGGUUUUGCAUGGUAAAAGCCUGCUUUUAACAUCUGCUUUUCAAUAUUCUCUGUUGAAUUUGUACCUAUAUUUAGAAUAAUCCUUGAAACUUUUCAUCCUACCUGUUUCAUCUCAGAAUAUUGUGUUCCACUGAAACAUGAGGCAGAUGGAUUUCAGAUUUCUGUUCUUUUCUCCCAUGGGUUUGUGGACAUCUGAACCAUGGUCUGGAGGUGAGGAGCUGAGACUGCCCCUUUUCUGUGCACAGAAGGUUCUUUGCACGAGGAAUGGUGUGUGCUGUCACACACAGCACACAGAGGCAGCCCAAACUGGCCAUGGUGUGAGCAGCUGUGUCAGGGAUGGGAACAAAAUGCUCCAGUCUUCAGAAGGUGAAAAGAAGGUAUUAAUAAAAAUUAGCAUGUCUUUUAUAACCCCACUCGCUAAGCUGAGACUUGAUUGGUCUUAAAGCAAAAACCGCUCACACUAUUGGUGAGCUAAGAAUAGCACACUCUGGAAAAUCAUAUUUAUAAACAACCUGUGUAGAAAGAGAUAAUAAUAGUUUUAAUUUUUUUCUCUGAGCUUUCUCACAGCUUCCCAGGAAAAUCCUGGGAGAGCUCUGUCUGUCUGUUCAGAGGAUAAAUGCUUACCACACAGUUGUGGCAAAACAAGUUCUGAUUUGCUUUGUGGUAUGAUUUUUUGAGGUCUCUCAUAAGCAUCAGUCUAAGUCAAUGAUUGGAAGUUAGGGCAAACAAAUAAUGUGGAUAUAUUUUCAAAUACUGAAAAUAUACAAUCACUUUAAUUUGUGAAUCGAAAUGAUAUUCUCAGAAAAAAUUCAACUCUGUAAGAUGUGGUAACCAUCUCCAUCUAUCCCUUCAUGUCUUUUACAUCACCAAAAUUUUAAUAUAGGCAUAUUUUAACCUUCUUUUAUGGGCUAUUACCAAAUUAUGCUCUUAUGGGUGUUACUUCAGUAUAAUACUUUAGGGUUUUCCUGUUCUAUAUAAUCUAUAUUUAAUCUAUAUUAUUAUAAUCUAUAAUUAUAAAAAAAAUCUAUUUUAUCUACCACUAGUUAGGUGUUCUGAAGAAAACAAUCAGGAAACAGGUUUUGUGCUAAUUCAGUUAGUCAUUUUAGUAACAAUAUUAUUCUGGAGUGGUGUUUUAUUGGUUUUGUUGGGAUUUUUACUGUGAUAGAGCUUGCUCAGAGAAAUAAGAUGAUCUCUAAUUCUCUGCUUCCCUCCGUGGGUAAAUAUAGCCUGACUAAAAGUGUCUGGAAAUGUGAGAUCACCGAGGAAUCAACCUCAUAUUUCAUUUCACUGCUGUUAGUUUCAGGUAUCUCCAUAAUACCUUUUUCCUACAGUAAAUAAAACUCUUGAAUAGUGAUAAAGGAUGAGACAGAAGAAAUAAAUAAGCAGCACAAUGCAUAAAUGUCAUGCAAUCCCUCCCUGCAAGAGAUCAUCUGACCAACAGGGAAAUCACCACUUACUCCUGUGAAAGCUCUGAGCUGACUAAUGAGUCAGGGUGCCUGUGAGGUGAUGGAAAUUGCCUGAAAAAGUCACCUCCAAGGCUGCCUUUUAUGUAGAUUUUUCUCUAAUAGUUUAUUUAAAAUUCACUUGUGAAUUGUACUUCCACCGGGCUUCACACAGCUCUCCCUGCUACCACACACACAAAUACUGCAAAAACAAAUACUGCACCACACACCUUGCAAGUUAUUCUGCACAGGGCCAUUUCUACUUCAAUAACAAUUUCUUUUGGAGAUUUACUAUGCUACAGGAACAGCUUUAUGUGAAAUCUUGUGAAUUUGGAAUAUUCAUGUAAGAUAAAUUACUUUUAAAUUGAACUUCAGGAAUGCAAUUGAUUGUGUUUACCUCGGAAGAAUAAGGAAUUAUCCACACAGUUAUCUAUGACUUAGAAAUGCUGCUUCUGCACAAGUAGCAGAAUAAUUUGGGGAUAUUUCUGAUAAAGGACAGUAUAUUUCACAUUGCUUUAGAUUACUUAAGAAGCAGAAAAGCAAUGUUUUGGUAAAGUAUAUUUUCAAUCCAUCUUCUAAAAGUAAGGUAAAGGUUGAGUUUUCAAGUUAUAAAAGCAGAAGUAUCAAAAAGUUUCUACCUUAAUCUCUGAGACUUUUCUUAAAAUCUGUGCACAUGUUUCAAAGACUUUUUUGUUGCAUGUUGUUCUCUUUCCUAGACAGCAUAGAUUUGAAUUUAGUGUAUUCCUUAGAACAUUGCUCCAAUGUAUGUUAUUGACCAGAAUUUUCCAGUGGUAAUGAAAAACCCCAAAACCAGUCAUAAGACAUGAAAUUGAAAAGUGUCUGUAUUUUAUUCUGGCAUUCUACAUGCUUAGCUGUAAAACCUUUUCUGCAUCUGUCAGCAGGGAAAUCAUUCUUGCAAAUUAUUGAGUGGAAAUAAAAAGUAAAAUCCAUCCAGGAGGGACAAGAACAUUGGAAGGUCCCUUAAUCAGCUUUCUAAUUUACAGUGAAAAUAGAUUUUUUAUUAGUCAGGAAUAACUUGUAACAUAACAUGGUGUUACCCGCUUGAAAAAAUAAUUUGGUUUUGAUUGCAAAGGAAUCAGCUGCUUUCUGAUUGCUGGGUUAACAAUAAAUAUCUUGCUUAUGAAGCAGGAAUUUACUACUUCAUCAAAUGAGUGAAGAAAGAAACUGAAAUGAACAGAAUGAACAAGAUUUUUUGAAAAAAGGCAACACAGUUGGAUUUGAUUUGAAAAGAAGAAUAGCAGGCAUAUGCCAUGUGUCAUUAUAGGAGAGAACUGGAGACAGUAUUAUUCAUUAUGUGGUUUCAGAGUGCCCUAAAUUGGAGUAUAAGAUUAUUGGAAGUGGUUGAUUUCCCCAGAUUACUGCUUAAUAGUGACUAAAGGGCCCACAUUACUCAUAUUUGCAAAGAAAAUAGUGCCAAAAAGCAGCAGUGGUUGACUGGAAUGAAAUGUGGAGCCCUCAGGGUUUUAGCUUGAGAUGCAGCUUAAUUGUGUGUCUCUUGUUUAAUACAAAUGUCCCCGAGUCUCUGAGGCUGCUGUGCUCUCAGCACUUGCAAAUUGAUCCAGCACUUUCCAAAGUAUUUACUGGGGAUUUUUUCUUCACUGCUUUCUAAAUAAAUUAUUAUAAUGACUUCACAGACCCAAGUAGGUUUCCCCGUUUCUGGCUGCUUAUCUUUACCAAAUUCCUUCAUCUUCCUGCCAGCUUUUGUUUCUUUCCUUUAUCUGCUUAAACUUCUGUAGUGCCAUGGCUGGAAAAGGGUUAGGCCUGAUGUCAGCAGUGCAGCUUUCCUUUUGCACUUCUAGAAAAACAUGGAAAAAUGAGCCAGCUGGGAUUAGGGUGUGUUUGCUGUCCUACAGCUGAGGUGUUGCCUCUUGAUAAUGAAAUAUAAGUGUGGUGAAUUACUUUUAACUAAAGUAAUUAGUAUUUUCAAGCAAAUUUGCUAAAGUACUUCUAGAAAGUGUUUGUGCUGUGAAGUUUCUUAUACUUUUAGGGGCAUAUAUUGCUCUACUUGGACAAUGUUUUGCUAAAUUGAUUGCAGGGUACACACAGAGCAUUAUUGAAGAAAAGCUGAAUUAGAAACAACAUUAAAUUUUCACAAUUUUUAUCAACAACAAAAAAAAAAAGUUAUUUUUCUUUCACAGUAUUUACAGUUUCUCUGCCAGAUACUAGGAAACUAAGUGAAAAUACUACACUACUGUGGAAUAAAAUUAUUUUGUUGUAUGAAGGUGCUGGACUGAUGUACAGAGGAAUGAAUUUGAGUUCAGUGCUGUGUUGAAUUCCACAGGACUUCUGUGAUUCUAUUCCCAGGUGAUGAAAGGGAAAUUAAAGUACUUUCUUUUUGCCUAGUGAAAAUGUCAGGUCUAAAAAGGCAAGACUUUUAUAUAGAAAUACCUUGGGAAAGAACCUCAAAAUUCAUCUUGUCCAUCUGCUUUAAUUAUCCAGACCUGGAACUAAAGGAUUGAAAUGGUCUAUUGCAAAUGGGAGAUGAGCAAAGGAAGAAAUGAUUCCUGAUUUUUACUUUUUCUUCAAUACCUCAUACAUUUGAAUAAGGUUUAAAAGAAGCUCCAGAUUGUGGAAAUGAUGUUUCCAGCUUUUGAAUUCAGAGGGUUUGCUGAAGUCUUUGAGUCAACAUGUUGACUCAGAAAGUAUCUAGGAUUAACUGCUAAAAUAUAUAAAUAUUUACAAACUAAACCCAAGAUUUUAAAUAUAUUCAAAAUAAAUGGAGCUGUUCACCUUUGGAGUUUCUCUCAUCCCUGAGUAGUACAUCUUGUAAUAAUGAUGUCAUUGCUGUGUUCUUCAUUACUGAGGAGGGGUUUUAACUGUUAUUUUUUUCCUUGAGCUUAAAAGAUUAAGUUGCUGCCUUACAAUGUUCAGCAAAAUUUCCAAUGAAUGUUUAUAACUUCUGUAGAGCAGAGCUUUUUCUAAUAUUUUUGAGAGACAUUGCUCCCUGAACUCAGUCACUUACGCAAAUGAAGUUAUUUAUUACAUUGUAGUACUUUUAAAUUUUUCCUUUUUAGAAAUUACAUUUGCAGUUGAUAUUUCUGCAGUGGAAAAAAAAUGGCAACUGUGCAGGAAGGACCAUAAUCCUGGAGAAUCCCUGAAGUGUUGUGCAAUAAUACAAUGGCUGAAUAUCAGUAAAGGUGUAUGAGGUGAUUUGAUAGGAGCAUUUUUAAUGUAUAGGAGAAAUUCAAGAUUCAGAGUGAAAUUGUUUGAGUUCACUUUAAGAUGAAAACUCAAAAUUUGGAUAUAAAAAAAUUCUAGAAGGCGGAAAACUGUAUUUAAAGCUACAAAUUACAUUUGAAAAGAUGAAGGACUAGUUAAAGCAAACACAUUCACCUCAUGAAAUAAGGUUUUAUUGAUCAGUUAUUAGGUGAUGAAAACUCCAUUGAAUGUAAAACCCCACUGAAGAGAUCAGAUUCCUUCCACUGCUGUGUAGCAAGAAUUAAUGUUUUUCAAGAUUAUGUUUUUAGCUCCUGUAAAGUUUAAUAUUGUUCUUCCACCCCUUGGGCAAAGAAAGGACAUCUUUGGUUAUGUUAUAUUUUGCCUAAAUCAAAAAAUGCUUUCACUGUAUCAGGAUUUCAGGAGAACAGGUGGGAAAACCUUGUUCUUCAGGAGCAAGGGCUGAGCUCACCCUGGUUUGGUCUCACAGACCUGGAGGAGUGGCCUGGCCUGCCCUGCAGGAGCUGUCCAGGAGGUGACAAUUGCUGUCCUGUCCUGCCCUCAAGGUCACAUCCACCUGAGCCAGACUCUGGCCCCAGAAUCUCUGGGUCUGCCUCCCUCCUCCCAGUCCUUCCUUCACUCCCUCUGCGGACACUGCAUGGCUCUCCAUGCCCAGCAAUAUUUGCUGCUCUGCACAUGAAGGCAUUUCCCAAGUGUGCACAAAGGACAUUUAUCUCUUAAUAUGAAAUGUCAGUAAGGACAAGGGGCCUUGUUGCUUUUUAUUCUCUCUGAAGCAUCAAAGCACAGACCCAGCCAGAAACAGGUGGAUGUGAAAAGGGCUCUGGUGUCUUGUUGCUGUGUCUGCUUCACGCACCAGUGUUAGGAGCAGCUGAUCAAAUACAGGAUUUUUUUUUUUUUUCCCUCAGAUCACUUGGGACUUCUCUUUGGGUCUUGUCUGCAGCAAAGAAAACAAUUUGAGUAAUCAUAUAAUCAUCUCCCUGCCAUUUUGGGAGUGAUAUUUGUUAUUUGCCCUGCUCUGGUAUCUGCCUUUUUACUUUCUUCCACUUCUUCUCCUGCCCUCUCAAAAGGAUGUUUUAGGACUAAUUUCAUGUCCUGUGGUCUGGAUGUCAGACCUGGUGGUUCAGACCCAUCAGUCUUGGGUUUCUGUGAAAACUGUGAGGGCAGGUGCUCUAAACUGACUGUGCUGGUUGGUUACUGUCACAAAAAUCACUUCUGUGCUUUCUGCCUCAAAACUCCCAUCAGAAAAGCCUGGAUAUUAUUUAGCAGCCUCAGACAUUAUAUAUAUUAAUUAGAAGUUUAAUCAUGUCAAGAAGAUAUACUAUUUGCAUUUGAUCUUCCACAUACUAGAGGAAGAUUGGAACUCAGAUGAAGUAUUAAUUGCUGGUCAAAUAUUGCAUGUUUCUUAUUGAGUGAUUACAUAGCACUAAUAUUUUCCUUGCACAGUUGAUUGUCUCACCCUUGUAAUAUUCUCCUGUUAGUUCUUUUCCUGGCCAAUGGAUGUGGUGCUUUAGCCAUUCCACUUUCUGCAAGCCUUAUGCUGUCAAUGUUCACAGCUAUUAAUGCUGCAUCCCAAAAUGCAGAGUGUGUGAGGGAAUGCUAAUUGAAAUGACUGUAUUUAUUCAAUUGAAAUGACUGUAUUUAUUCAAUUGAAAUGACUGUAUUUAUUCAAUUGAAAUGACUGUAUUUAUUCCGCUGUCUGGAGAAGUAUCAAUACAGUGUAAAAGUGUGUCUCAGGGCUGGAGAAGGUGGAAUUCACAUGCACAAUAGCAGCAAUCCACUUUGUGCUGCAGAUAAUAGGAGACAGCACUUUGCUGAGGGCAAUGACUUUCAUGUCUGCUCUGUUGUGUGAAGCCAAAGCCUAAGGCACUCAGAUAACAUAUUAAUAGGGACAAAACUUCCAGUGUUCUGGGAGUAAAUAUUCACCUCUUCCAUGUUACUCCAUCCACUUUGAUUGUGGCAUAUAAAACCAAAUGGAGAAGUAUCCUACACUGCAGGUGGGAUAUUUGAAAGUAUAACUGACUGCAUCAAAUAGGUAAAACAGCAAUGCUGUGUGCAUGGAGCUGUGCAAGGGGAAGAAAUUCAUGUCACCUGCACCUCUGGGAGUUAUUGGAAAACACCAGUUGUGUGUGUCUCUGUAAAGAAUCUGUAUUUCUCCUGUACUUUCCCCAAAAUAACAGGUAAUCUGGAUUUCAGGCUCACAGUAGGAGGUUUCUGCUGAGGGUUUGCAUCACCUUUACUUGCACAACAUUCUCAGUGCUUGCUUCUCUUGGCUGAAAACUAAAACUUUUCCAAAAGCUAGAAACUUGCAUUCUUUACCUAGUUACAGUGUGUCUGUCUCAUUACUGUGUGGGUUUAUCAGUGAUCCUUUCAAUGUGGGAAAGAGCUGGGUUUGCCAUAAAAGCAGACACACCUGGGGGAGCUUUGCUUUCACAUCACAGAGCUCUGCUGUUCUGUAAUCAGUGCAGUUGCAAGCUAAACUUCUUAUCAUUUAAUGUUAUUAACAGCAGUUUAUGCUAAUAAAAACUUCUCGUGAGCUUCACUCUUCCCAAGAAUACAGCAUCCACUGAUUUGUUCUUGUUUCCAGAUUUACCAGAGCAUGUGAAUGUUGCUUUUUAUGGCAGGGCACAGAACAGGGACCAGGGGAAAGGAGAACAGCUCAAGCUGCUCAAGGGAUUUUGCUCCAGCACAUAGAUUUUGUGCUAAAGAAUGAAAUAGUGUCCUAGUGAUGUUUAGUUGAGCUCUAAUAAUGAUCUAAAUGUAACCUAUUGUGGCUGCUGUAUUGCUUUGGGUGUUUUAUCAGCUGUAGAAUAGCUCAAAUCUAAUAGUUCAAAUGUAUGUGAUAUUGCACAAGCAGUGUUUAUUUGCAUGGCUUUGGGUUUGGUGCAGAGUUAUGCUCACUGACAGUAACAAUUUGCUAAAGUUUUUGGGAAUAUAUUGUAGUAACAUGCAGUAUCCGUUUGUAUGUAAUGCCUUUGCACAUAAAAUACAUGGAAUUUAUAGAAGAAAUCUUGUAGAUAUGUUUUGAAAGAGGCAUUGUCUAGAAAAUUGCAAUCCCAAAUGCUUCUCUGUUCUCUGGAAAAUAAUUUUGUUCAUUUGAAAGAGCAUGUGAAGUACAUGAAAGGAUUUUAGAUAAUCCUGUAAGAUGCAAUGAGAAAUCUGAUUAAAAACCUUGGAAAAUUUGGAAAUAAAAUAUUGUUCUGUUGUCUUCAUUUUAGCAUGAAAAGCACAAGCCUGUAGUGUAUAUGUUUCUAGCUCUACUUUGCCUGACUUCUCCUCCAGUGUCAAAACCUUAAAACCCUGCAAUAAUUUUAUUCCAUUUUCUACUCACUUCACUACGAGACUAAAAGGAUUUUAAUUAGACCCACUCCACAAGCUGUAUGAGAGCAUCAACAAUGCCUGCUUAUGAAAUGAAAAAGUAAAUGAAGCAAAAAGAUGCUCAUGUCUCAGGCACGUUUUAUUGGGGUUGACAGUGGUAACUUAUUUAGCAGGAAAGAGGCAAGCUCUUCAGGCCCUGAAUUACUGCAGCAGCUCUGGGCUCUGUGUCAUACAGAGGUCCCAUUAGAACAUCAGAAAUACUCUGGCUUUCCCUUGGAAGUUUCAGUAAAGCAGUAUUUUGGCUAGCACACAAGUUGCAUGUAAAAUGUAUUGUUUUCCUUCCUCUCGGUUUUUCUCAUUUAGGUUGCAAUAAGAGGUUUUGCCAUUUAGAGCAAUCUUAUCAAUGUGGCAUUCACAAAUCUGGACACCGUGGGGUAGCACUCAUUUGUUCAGCUUCUUCUCAGUCUUUUCAGAGGAAACAAUCAAGUUCUUUUAAAAUGAUUCAAAGUUUUCAACUAUGAAUAAAACUGGUUAAAUUACAUUGAAAUGUCAAGAUCUAGUGUGAAGCUGGCAUAGGGCUGUAAUGUAGCAAAUAGAAUAAGAACUGCCAUCAUUACAACUCUGAAAUAUUUUAGGCCUCAUUUUGUAAUUCACUAAUUUGAUAUUCAAAUUCUGUUUGAUGUUGUUCCUGCAGCAUCUCUACCUAAAUUAACAGUACUGAGUAAUAACCUAAUAGACCCGUCUUCCACUCACACUUUGAUUUGUCAGAAACUAUUAAAAAUUAGUCAUUUAUUAUUUAGCAAACUAUUAUUGUGUGUUUCCUCUGAUCUGUAAGCAAAAUUUCAAGGCAUUAAAAAAACUUAGAAAAUGGCAGUGGAGGUUGACAUGAAAUCAUCACUUCCCAACAAUUAAUAGCUGCAUAAAUGUAUGAAGCCAAGCAGGCUUUUAAAACUUAUUUUUAAUUUAAUUAUUAUCCUUGGUGAGUAUGAAAUAGCCUGUUUUUCUUGCUUGCUGAGCAGGCUCUGUCUCUGCUGCCUUCUUUGGGAGGAAGGACACACAUUUAGUAGGUACAUUUCUCUGCUGCUCUGUAUUCCCACACAGAACUUGGUGUCUGUUCAGCAAAAAGUGGUCAUUAUGUGAAGCAGAACUUUCCAGUGUCUGCUUCUUUAAUCCAUUUAUCCAUUUUUUAAAAUUAGACUUACUUUUUGUAUUUCUGGUCAAACUUUAAAAAUGCAUGUUGCUUCUUUCUUCCUCACUCCCUCCUCUAAAUCAGGCAGGUGUUGUGUCACUUGUUCCCUCCAGGGCUCAAGGGAUUACAUUCCCCUCUUGGUUCAACUGGAUUUAUCUCAGGAACCUUAGCUUGAGUCUUCUCCCAAGAUUAAAGUUAUUAAUAUUCAUUUAGUUCAUGUUUCCUCAGAAAGUAACAGGCUAAGAUGCCCCUCAAACUUUCUGAAGUUUUUCUCCCUAUCAGAUAUUGCAAUCUAAUAAUAAGCUAAGAACUUGUAGUUCUUGCAAGACAUUUCACACACCCCCUUCCCAAGGAAAAUACUGUGUGGGCAGUGUAAUAUUUCAUCACAGUUCCUAAGUUCUGCCUUCUAAGAGCAGCAGGGUGGAAGUGUCAAAGGACUGUAUUUCAAGCAUUAUUUGCUUUUAUUGGAGCAGGCAAGCCAAUGAGUUCAUUUAGCUGUUGAAAGGAGCUGUGUUUUCGUUUGUGGCACUUUGUUCCCCCAUGUCUAAUUGUCUCCUAGGCCCUAAACAGAUCUGCCUUGCCUUCAUGUGUGUAGGAUGAAUGAUAUUUUUGACCCCUGCUUUAAUCCUGGAGCUCCAGAUUCCUCCUGGUAACUUAAAAAAAAACUUUCACCUGAAACAAAAGGCCUCAACUUGAUUCUCCAAAAUAAUGGAUGCAGGGAACAGCCAGCUAUCUCCUCUCUGUCUCUGCUUUUUGUUUUUUCUUUUAAUGCCACUAUUUUAUUGGCAAACAAAGAAUGAGUCCAGGCUUUUGGGCUGGAUACAGGGAAAUAUCAAUGACUGGUGAGUGAGCUCAGAAGUGUUACAGGAAGGCAGAGACCCUGAGGUCAGAUGGUGGCAGAGGUUGAUUUGAUUGCUACAGUUCAUAUUAUGAGUGUCUCUCGUCUCUGGAGGAGCAUCUCCCAGGUUCUGGAAUUUGUGUAGUAGCUUGUACAAUUCAUCCAUCUCCUGGAGUGAUUUAGAUUAAUGCGGUCUGUAAAGCCAUUCCUGGAGGAAUACACAGAUAAACACUUGUGACUUGGAGCAGGGAAGUGACUUUUUUGCUAUUUGUUUUGUGCUCAGUUAUCAGUUCUACAGUGGUUUGUUAAUGCCUUUAACUGCAGAUAAAGAUGCAGCACAGAAAUAACAGAACUGUGAAUUUUGUCUCUGUAAUUACUGCUGUAAAUUCAGUUACUGGUGGAACUGAAGGUUAGGGGUCGGUUUCCCUACUGUUCCUUCUUUUUUGAUGCUUGAAUACUGGAGUUCAGAAAUGGCAGUGUGCCUGUCUUAAAGAUGGUCUGGCCUUUAUGGUGCACAUUAAAAAUUACAGCUCUCUCACCUGGAUAUCUCCCACUGUGCUCCCAGAAUCCACCUUUGAACACUAGCAAUAAUGACCUACUUUCCCUAGGUCCUGGAAACCUCACUGACUCGAUUUUGAGUUUGGGGUAUUUGAGAUGCCUGCAGGGGAGGGGGAAGUGUGUUAGGUGAAUGAAAACUAUUAUGAACAAUGAGAAAGGUCCUUUUUUUUUUAUUUCUUCUUUUUUUUUUUUGUUUCUCAUCUCACUUUGCAGUAACUCCCUGAUGUCUGUAUAGGAAAAUACCUUCAUAUUUGUACACAAAUGCUUACAGGGCACACACACAGAUAUAUCUUAUAUUAAACCCAAAUCAUGGGGUGGUUUUCCAGAACUCCCCAGCCAUUGUUCACAGCCAGAAACAACCUCCUUGUGUUGCCUGCUCCUACAAGCACCAGCACAUGCAUUUUUUUGAAGCUGAGCUGAAUAAACUCUGUUUGACAUCUGUUGCUAAUGCUGCAAUCAGAUCGAUUGCUACCCUUUGAGCCAGUUUUUCUGGUUGCUUGGGUUUGGGUUUGGUGGUUUUUUGUGGGUUUUUUUUUGGUUUUUUGUUUUCUUUUUUUUUUUUUUUUUUGUGGGUUUGUUUGUUUUGGUUUUGUUUAAUUUUUCUUUGGGGUUUUUGUUUGGUUUAUGUUUGUUGGAUUUGUUUCUUUUUUUCUUUUCUUUCAUCUACUUCUCAAAAUAAACCUCAGAAAACCAAACCUGUUCUUGAGAAGAGUUUUAUGCUCUUGGCAGUUGAAACUAUAUUAAAUUUCCUUAUUUGAUUUGUUUUUAUUUUUUUCAAAUUAGUCAAUGUAGUCAAAUUAGUGUGAGUUCACAUAUUCUAUAGCAGUGCAAAGGACUGACUAAUUGUAAUAUGAUAAAAAGGCAGAAAUUUUGCUGAUACAUAUUAAAAGUCAGUUGGAAAUAGGACUGCUUUGAAUGUGUGAUAAAUGGGUUUUAGUUUUAUAUAUUGUUAGUAAAUAAGAAAUAAUUUAAAAAUUACACUUUUCAAAAUUAAAUGCUUUCUCUUUUGUGUAUUUAAUUAAGACUUUUCUCCCUUUGCAACCCAUUUAGUGCUGAGCAGUUUCUGUGAAAUUAGACCCAAGUCCUUAAGAUUUAUUUGCUUUUAACAGACUGGAGGCUUUAGUUAGAAAAAUCUAGCCUUUUCAAUCUAAACUAAAACUUCAUUUUCUAUUGUAAAGAUUUAUCAGUUGGCACAGCACAUGGUGUGCAGCAGUGAAGAGAACUUGCACGCUCUGCUAGUGAACAGCCAAGGGCUGUUAUUUUCUUCAGUGUAUUUCUUCUUAAUUUCAUGGCCAAAGACCACGUGAAAAGAAAACUGCUUUUCAGGCAAGAGGAAAAAGUGUUCUUUUUCACUAGAGGAAGUGUCAAAAACAGAAUUUGAAAGAGGGGAGUAAAACAUGUGGGAGUGAGAGAGGAAUGUCUUGAAUUUGUGGUACCAGGGAAUGAUGGGAUGCAGUGAGAGUCAGUUCCAGAAAUCACUUUCUUUUAAGGCCUAUGUACUUGGUGUAUAUAACAAUAAAUAAAUAAAUAUAUUAUUGUAAAUGAACCUUUUCAGCCUCUACUGAAACUGUUUUAGAACCCAUGGCAAUAUUUUAGAAUAUAUUUGUAAAUCAGGAAUUGUACCACUUGUGGCUGCCAUAAGGACCUUGGAUUGGACCCCCCAGCCCACAUGGGGACUCAGGGCAAGCAGUAAUUAUUAUCCAAAUAUGUUGUGAAGGAAGAGAGGAACUUUGAGAGGUAUAAAGUGCCUCUAAGUUCUAGGAAAAUAGAUCCAUAGGUGAAGAAUGCAAGAAUUCUGCUUGCCCCAAAACAUUUCUGUCUACAAUCUUCUCAGCUGCCAUAUCUACCCACUGUGAGUUGUUGAAUCAAGGGCUUGAUCUGUCUUUCUUUCUCUGGCAGUGAUUUCUUGGUGUCCCUGUCUCUCUUCAUUUCCAGUCUAGAAGGAUUUGCUGAUUGCUGGUAAUUCUUUGAUCACUUCUUCAAACAACUGAUCAUAAUAAUUAUAAUGUUCUUAUUUAAUGAGGCAGCACUCCUCUAAGGACUAAGCAAAUAUUAUUUAUGGCUUAAGUGAUUCAGGUACAGAGAAGUUUAAAUCAUCAUGUAGUACCCAAGGGAGGGCUGCACUAUUUCUGUCUCAGAUGUCUGAGAAAAAAUACGAGUGCUUGCAUCCUAUAAGAUUUGCUUAGUAGAUCUGAUGCUUCUCAAAUUAUACAACUUUUUAUGCAUAAAUAUGAGGACAUGGCAUAGAUCUUUGCUGUGAUGGAGUAAAGAGUUCCUCCAAAAUUUACUGCAAAGUAUUCACAUAUUUUUCAGUCCAUAAUCUGUUACACUUUUAGGCUCAGCUCUCCCUUCUUCCUCUCUUCAGAAAAAAAGCCAUCCAAAGUUUUAUCAAGUUUUUAUAUAAGGACAAUAGUUUUUACAAGGCCUUGUUUAUACCAGUUUCUGCAUAUAACCUGUUUUGGUUAGGAAUAGAAGCCAAAAAGCCCAACUUUCCUAAUUCCAGCUUCUUUAUUAAACUGCCUCUGCCAUACAAAGCCCUUAGAGUGAUACGGUUGCAUGAGAAGGAUUCUCUUUGACAAGAAAUAGCUUAUUUUGCUCCAAAUUGGAUUAAGCCCCACAGAAGGUUUGGGCUGUUGACCUGUUAUAACUUUGGGCAGGCUGCCCCUGGAGCAGCCAAGGGCAGGUUGCUCUUUCUUUGGUGAUUUUCACACAAGAAUGUUUGAAUUAACCUAUUGUACAGCUUCAGAGUGUUGUUCCUCCCAAGCCUUAGCUCCCCUGUGGCAUUGCACUAGUGGAGCUAAAUUCAAUUUAACACUUGGAGUGGGUAGGGGCAUGGAAAAGGUGCAAAGAAAUGCCUUAAUUGUGAUUACCAUUUAGAAUAUUGAAUAACAACAAAGUUGUAUUGAGGUUAGUCAAGUGACUUUAUUUACUUGAUUCCCUUUUUGUUCCUCCAAACCCUCUUUCUCUGAAUUUCCUGGAGGGCCUGUGUGAUGAUGCUGGGCAGGGGAUGCAGGCAGCAGCAGGACAUUGGUGUCAGUAUCUCCAGGGUCCCCUGUGUGCCAGCUAAGGGAAAGAAAAACAUUUGCAAGCACUGCUCUGAAACAAAGCAGCUGAUUGUGCUCUCAGACUGCCCAGCCAGGCCAGCCCUGCUGUCCUCCCUCCCCGAGACCAUCCCCACCAUGAAAUUCUGUGUGCUGCUGGUGGGUCUGUGCAGUCCUGACUGGCUCUUCCAUACAGGAUUCAUAAGGGCCAAAGUCUUUAGAAAUUUCCACAUCAUCCUGAACUAUUCUCUGCUUUUAUAAUCUGUGCUCCUUCCCCUCCUAUCACACCAUGGUGCUUUUCUUUGCACCACGCUGCUCUCCCUCAGUACUGUCCUUUUCCCUUGCAUAUUAACCUUGUUUUCUCUUUUCUUUAUUGUGUCUGAAUUCCUGGGUACAGAGAGAGGAACUUGAUAUCUUUCUUUCUUCUGUCUUUGCAUCAGAGACUGGCAGAAUAUGACAGGAAUUUAUACCAGGGACUGAUUGUGUUCAUUUCAAAUAGAAGUGACCUGUGGGAAAAGGAUUUAUAGAAAGGUAAUGACAUUUGCUGCUAGUUCAGAACUGAAGGGAGCUACAGGGUCACUCACUUCAGUGGAAUGGGCAAAAGGUUUAAAAUGGAUGAUGUAGUUUAAGACCAUCAUGUUCAGAUACCUGUUUUUCCACUUAAAGCAUAGAAAAUUCUAGUAAAAGGACUAGGGAAAAAAACCCAAACAAAACCACCAAAGGCACAGCCAAAAGGGUACAAUGUAUAACAGUAUCUUUAAAACUGCUAAAUGAAACCAAAAUGGGGAUGGAAAAUCUUAAAAAAACAUUCUGCAAUGUUUUCUAGCAACCAAGUAAAUAAAUCACUCACUGCUUUCAUUUUUAAGAGCAACAAAAAUACUGAAGAUAAUCAGCUGGAGAGAAAGGGAACUUUCUAGGUCUCAUGUAUGUUUAAUUUAUACAAUUUUCAUUUUAUAAAUGUAAAUGUUGUAUAAAUGUAUAAUUAUCAUGAAUGGACAUUUGGAAUUAAAUUUAUUUUUAAAUUCCAAAAUCAGGGGUGGUAAUUUCCCCUUGAGAAUUAAGAUGUACUCAGAAUGGAUAAAUCUUAUUGUUAAAUUGCUCUAGACUGAGAACACUAGGAUUACCAAGUUAUUUUUCUAUCAUGAUUACUUGAUUUAAUUUGUUUUCUGAAGAUUUGGGGAUACCUAUAUUGAAAUUUCUUUGAAUUCUUAAUUCUGAAAUAUUUCCUUUCAAAUCAGGGAGAUUUUAGAACAUUGUGCUUGUAUGUAUCUAGUUUGUAUGCUUUUAUGUAUUUUUUUAAAGUACAGAACACUGCUGAUUUUUAGGAAUUUCACCAGUAAAAAUAUAUGUGGAGGGGGUUUGUGUUAGGAUUUUUUUUGGUUUGGUUUGGGUUUUUUUAGGAUACCUUUUGUUUUCAGAUUCCUUCUCUUUUGAGAUACAUUUUAAUUUUUUUUUUUUCCCACCAAGGUCAAGCUACUCUUAAGAAAUUGCCAAAAAUCUGGAAUGUACAGAUUGUGUUUUGAAAGGCAGUGUUGCAACCACUGAAACAGUGGUGAAUGACCUCGUUUUUUGUAGCAUUCCAUAAUUUACUAAAUGAGUCUGUAUGUGGUUAUGACCUUAUUAAAUCAGUGCAAUCAUAAUCUGAAUAAUUUACUAGUAUGAGGUAAUUAUAAGGGUACUUUUUAAAAAAAAAUAAUUUAGUUUUACCUCUACUUAGAACUGCUUGGAGUCUUUAAAAUAAAUUUCAUGGUUCAGUAAUUUGAGAAAUCAUAAAAAUUACUGCAAUUAAGGAAGUGGUUAAUAAUGUCUAUCUUGUGUAGUUGCAUUAUGGAAACCAAAGUAAUUCCUGUUUUAAUUGUAGAAGUGUUAAAUUUAAGUGGUGGCAGGCAAAUGGCUCAUGUAGGGAUUAAUGAUGGAAUGAGACAGUGGAGCUGCCUUGCUGCUGCAACAGGAAGCUUUUCACUGUUAUUGCUGCAGGGAAUUGGGGCUGGGGCUGGAACAACCCUGGUGGCUGCUCUGGGGCAUCUCUGGGCUCACAGGCUGCUCACUCAGAUCCCAGGAGCUUUGGCACUUCACAACAGGCUCUGCCAACCUGGUGAUUGUCCAUUUCUCUUGGGGUUCAGAAGGUCAGGGUGACCCCGAGAGAUCAACAAGAGUCUUUUCUUCCCUGGCCUGAUGCAGCCAAAGAAGGAGCCUGGAAUGCUUCCAAUUGCAUUUUCAAGUUUAUUUCUUCUUAUCAAAACAUUCUUUCUCUGACCUGCUGAGCUCUGGCUAGCAAUUCCACCAUGGCCAUCUGCCCUGAGCCUUGGGUGGCUCCACAUUAUAUACUCAAAACUAUGUGUACCAUGUUUACAAUUUCUUCACUAAUUCCCAUCAUCUGUGUUAGAUUGUGAAUCUCUGCCUUAAACCAAUAGAAAAGUGCCACGAUCACACCAAGACAUGGAGGACAAGGAGAAGGAGAAGAAGGUCAGGACACACCCAAAUUCCUCCAUCUUGUACUGCCUUGAACCCCACUCUAAAAAUCAAAAAAUUCUACUUCUCCACCCUGUUAGUUUAAAUAUCACACUCCUAAAACCCUUGUGACUUGUAAUUCCUCAUACAAAAUUGGCAGCUUUUUUCCACAGGGUAAAAUCGAAGCCACAGGUGUUUUUGACUUCUUUCCAUGGUCCCCAAACCCCCUGCCAGGGUCUCCAAGGCAGCCAGAGGGAUGUCCUGGGCUCCAAGAGUUGAUGAUCAGAAUGAAUCUCUAUGUGCCACCAAAACUGCGAGAAAGACAAAAACCCUCCAACAGCAUUUUUAGUGUGAGAGAAUCAAGGCAUUACUUUAGGGUUGUGCAGAGAAAAUCAUUCCAUAACACACAAAUUGUACUAGAACCCCCAAAAAAUAAAACAAAAAAUUAAAUUACAUUUUGUAUCAUUUUCCUACAUUUGGAGCACCAGGGUUAUGUAGUUCAGCCCCGGUGCUCCAGAUGUAGGAAAAUGAUAAAAAAUUGGUGGGGGCCCUUUGCCAGGUCAGCUGUGUAGAGCUGAGCAGAAACAAGGGAAGGUGAGCACCAUAUGAUGUAAAAACCUCUUUAUCCCUGGCUGAGUUAGGGCUGCACACAUCAGGUGCAGCGAAGACACUGUUCUGGAGGGAAGCCACCUCAAGUGUAGAGUUUCCAGUAGAGUAGAAGACCUCUGAGCUACCCAGUUAAUUUGCUCAGAGCAGUCCCUUGACAUUUACCUUUACAAGCUCUGCUGGAACAGUUGUCGUCGUCCACAGCACAGAACAAAUUAAAAAAAAAAAAAAAAGAAAAAAACAACCCAAAAACUAUUUCAAAAAGGCAGAUUUUCUUGUGAAUGAUGAGCUGUCCCAAGAGAGUAAGCUGGAGAAAGUAACCAUACGGUAUUAUUUAACCAA